UGGCAGAAGGAAGCUGAGGAAGAAGAGAAACAGAUCCAGAGAGGGAGGGAGAUGAAGAGAGACAAGGAGAAUCGGAAAAACAGAGAGAUCCAGAGACUGAGAACAGAGGUGGGGGAGGGAAGGAUUUGGGGGAGACAGUGACUGGUAGCAGAAGGAAGUUGAGGAGACACACACAGAGAGAAAUAUCCAGAGAGAGAAGGGGACAAAAGCAGGAAGAGAUGCAAAGAGAGAACAGCAAGAGAUGAGGGAGAAAUAGAAGGGAGGAUGUCGUUCGGUUCUCAUCAAGACAAGAAUCAGGCUGGGGAACAAAGAGGAUAGAUAAACGCAUUCAGGACUGGGCUGGAGAACUAGGCAACAGUUGUGAACAUAGCUGUCACUUCUAAAACUAACCAGUGAGUAUGGGAUGGGCCAAUUUCAGGUAGGGAGGAAUGUCUCCUGGCUUCUGGGUGACCUUGGACCAAACAUUUCCUGUCCUUCUAAACUCAGCCAUUCUGGGGACCAGAGUUGCCUUGAGACAAAAUGAUAACAGCCUGGAAAGUCGCCUCACUUUUUUUUUAAAGGACGAUGUAAAUUGAGCCAGGAGUAGUGGUGCACAUUUUUGAUCCCAGGGAGGUAGAGAUAGGAGCAUCAGAGUUCAAGGUUGUCCUUGGUUACAUAGGGAGUUUGAGGCUGAGACUCUGAGAUGUGAAGCCAUUCACCCAAGAUCACCCAGGGGAUACGAGGCAGAGCUGAGUUGAAGCAGCUUUUUUGUGGAGAAAGACCAGCAAUGGAUUCGGCAGACAGCACCAGUUGAUCAGCACCAAUA
rnacentral:lncRNA from 1 species